rnacentral:rRNA from 1 species
ACCUGACCCAGCAACGCCGCGUGAAGGAUGAAAUCCCUCGGGAUGUAAACUUCGCAAGAACGGGAAGAAUAAGUCUGUGUUAACACCACAGACGAUGACGGUACUGUUUGUAAGCUCCGGCUAACUCCGUGCCAGCAGCCGCGGUAAUACGGGGGGAGCAAGCGUUGUUCGGAUUUACUGGGCGUAAAGGGCGCGUAGGCGGCCUCCGCAAGUCGACUGUGAAAUCUCCGGGCUUAACCCGGAACGGUCAGCCGAUACUGCGGGGCUAGAGUGCAGAAGGGCAACUGGAAUUCUCGGUGUAGCGGUGAAAUGCGUAGAUAUCGAGAGGAACACCUGCGGCGAAGGCGGGUUGCUGGGCUGACACUGACGCUGAGGCGCGAAAGCUAGGGGAGCGAACGGGAUUAGAUACCCCGGUAGUCCUAGCCUUAAACGAUGAAUGCUUGGUGUCUGGGGUUUUAUAGUCCCCGGGUGCCGUCGCUAACGCUUUAAGCAUUCCGCCUGGGGAGUACGGUCGCAAGACUG